rnacentral:rRNA from 1 species
UACGGAGGAUCCAAGCGUUAUCCGGAUUUAUUGGGUUUAAAGGGUGCGUAGGCGGCUUAUUAAGUCAGGGGUGAAAGACGGUGGCUCAACCAUCGCAGUGCCCUUGAUACUGAUGGGCUUGAUUACACUUGAGGUAGGCGGAAUGUGACAAGUAGCGGUGAAAUGCAUAGAUAUCGUCAAGAACACCUAUAGCGAAGGCAGCUUACUGGGCUGUAACUGACGCUGAGGCACGAAAGUGUGGGGAGUCAAACAGG